UCUAAUGACACCAGCAACAAUAAAAAUUUACGUCAAGUGUCAGAUUUUAAUUUGUAGGUUAUGUUAUCAAUUUUGCACGUUUUAUUAAUCAAAUUGAAUGGCUUCCAAGGAACAGAUCGCCCUCUCCGACUUGAUCAAGUCGACGCAUCAAAACCUACGCGAAUCGGCUAAGAAAAUCGGGCCGGAGGAGGCGUGGAACGAACAUUGUGCCAACCGUGAACGGCUCGAUAAAUAUGCGAGGGCCAUGCAGGAACUGGCCGUCAAUUAUUGGGAAAAAAACUACGAGACGAGUGGGAAGGCGGUGUCGAGAAACGUAUGGACUUACGAGUUUUGUCGCGGUUAUUUCUUUGGUGAUGAGUUAGUGAGACAACGAAACCGGGAGAAGGAAAUAGCACAGAAAAUGGACGAGGAAGAAAUCGACGAAAGUUUGUUUUUCGUUCAUAAGGACAAGCUUAAACUGCUGGAUGUUGGAAGCUGUUAUAAUCCGUUCAAAGUCUAUGAUAUUUUUGAUGUAACAGCCAUUGAUAUUGCACCAGCGAACGAGAAUGUAAUUAAGUGCGAUUUUAUUAAUGCACCAAUAACGGAGACGAAAUCAGAUGAUGCAGAAAUAACCAGUUUUGCACCUGUAACAUUUGAUGUCGUUGUUUUUAGUUUGCUGCUAGAAUACUUGCCAUCAGCAAACUUGAGAUUAAUCUGCUGUGAAAAAGCAUACAAUUUAUUAAAACCAGAAGGUUUAUUAAUAAUAAUAACACCAGAUUCUAAACAUGUUGGUGCAAAUGCCCAACUUAUGAAAUCAUGGCGAUUUGUUUUGCAAAAUUUAGGUUUUUCAAGGAUCAAAUAUGAAAAACUACCACACAUCCAUUGCAUGGUGUUCAGAAAGGCCUUAAGAAAAAGUAUUGGACAAAGAUGGGUUGAAUUACACAAAGAUAAACAAGUGUAUGAUCAAAUCAUGAUACCUCAGGAUUUAGUUGAUCACAAAUAAUUAGGUUAAGGCAACAGUUGACAUCAACACAAAAUGUAUGAGGAAACUGUUGAGUUAGAAGAGCAGUUCAUACUCAGGCUGCCUAAAAAAGAAGCAGAUCAUGUGAGACAAAUCCUACACACUAAGCCAAAGAAAAUCCAAAAGUACCUGAGCAUCGAUCUGGACGUCAUCAACAAAAGCGGUUACGUGAACUGCGGUGAUGUCCGCCUAAAUGGAGUGUUAAGAAAAC